rnacentral:rRNA from 1 species
UUUGAACAUGGCUUCAAGACGAACGCUGGCGGCGUGCUUAACACAUGCAAGUUCGAACGAUGAAAGCCUAGCUUCGCUAGGCGGAUUAGUCGGCGAACGGGUGAGUAAUACGUGAGUCGACCUACCUUCGACUCUGGGAUAAGCCUGGGAAAACUGGGUCUAAUACCGGAUACGACCAAUCUCUGCAUGGGGUGUUGGUGGAAAGCGUUAUGGAGUGGUUUUAGAUGGGCUCACGGCCUAUCAGCUUGUUGGUGAGGUAAUGGCUUACCAAGGCGACGACGGGUAGCCGGCCUGAGAGGGUGACCGGCCACACUGGGACUGAGACACGGCCCAGACUCCUACGGGAGGCAGCAGUGGGGAAUAUUGCACAAUGGGCGCAAGCCUGAUGCAGCGACGCCGCGUGAGGGAUGACGGCCUUCGGGUUGUAAACCUCUGUUAGCAUCGAAGAAGCGAAAGUGACGGUAGGUGCAGAGAAAGCGCCGGCUAACUACGUGCCAGCAGCCGCGGUAAUACGUAGGGCGCGAGCGUUGCCCGGAAUUAUUGGGCGUAAAGAGCUUGUAGGCGGUUGGUCGCGUCUGCUGUGAAAGGCCGGGGCUUAACUCCGGUUUUGCAGUGGGUACGGGCUAACUAGAGUGCAGUAGGGGAGACUGGAAUUCCUGGUGUAGCGGUGGAAUGCACAGAUAUCAGGAGGAACACCGAUGGCGAAGGCAGGUCUCUGGGCUGUAACUGACGCUGAGAAGCGAAAGCAUGGGGAGCGAACAGGAUUAGAUACCCUGGUAGUCCGUGCCGUAAACGUUGGGCACUAGGUGUGGGGGACAUUCCACGUUUUCCGCGCCGUAGCUAACGCAUUAAGUGCCCCGCCUGGGGAGUACGGCCGCAAGGCUAAAACUCAAAGGAAUUGACGGGGGCCCGCACAAGCGGCGGAGCAUGCGGAUUAAUUCGAUGCAACGCGAAGAACCUUACCAAGGCUUGACAUGCAUUAGAUCGCGUCAGAGAUGGCGUUUCCCUUCGGGGCUGGUGUACAGGUGGUGCAUGGUUGUCGUCAGCUCGUGUCGUGAGAUGUUGGGUUAAGUCCCGCAACGAGCGCAACCCUCGUUCUAUGUUGCCAGCGGUUCGGCUGGGGACUCAUAGGAGACUGCCGGGGUCAACUCGGAGGAAGGUGGGGAUGACGUCAAAUCAUCAUGCCCCUUAUGUCUUGGGCUUCACGCAUGCUACAAUGGCCGGUACAGAGGGUUGCGAUACUGUGAGGUGGAGCUAAUCCCUUAAAGCCGGUCUCAGUUCGGAUUGGGGUCUGCAAACUCGACCCCAUGAAGUCGGAGUCGCUAGUAAUCGCAGAAUCAGCAAACGCUGCGGUGAAUACGUUUCCCGGGC